rnacentral:rRNA from 1 species
AACGAACGCUGGCGGCAUGCCUAACACAUGCAAGUCGAACGAGACCUCCGUGUCUAGUGGCGCACGGGUGCGUAACGCGUGGGAACCUGCCCUUAGGCACCGAAUAACUCCCCGUAAGGGGGGCUAAUACCGGAUAAUGUCUUCUGAUCCGAGAUUUGUCGCCUUUGGGUGGGCCCGCGUUGGUUUAGCUUGUUGGGAGGGUAAAAGCCUAUCAAGGAGUCGAUCGAUAGCUGGGCUGAGAGGCAGGACAGCCACACUGGGACUAUGACACGGGGCGGACUCCUACGCGAGGCGGCAGAGCGUAAUACUGGACUAUGGGCGAGAUCCUGAUCCAGCAAUGCCGCGUGAGUCAUGAAGGCCUUAGGGUUGUACAGCUCUUUUACCCGGCAUGAUAAUGACAGUACCGGGAGAAUAAGCUCCGGCUAACUCCGUG